rnacentral:tRNA from 2 species
GGAGAGGUGACUGAGUGGUUGAAGGUGCGCGACUGGAAAUCGCGUGUAGGUGACGAGCCUACCGAGGGUUCGAAUCCCUCCCUCUCCGCCA